CGACGCGGCACUGAAUGAGAGUCAGAUGCGUCCACUAUCGUCUGCAAUUUGUCCGGUCUCCAGAGUAUAAUAACAAACCGGUCACUCGAAUAGGUAUGAGUUCGCGCGAACAAGAGAUAACUAUUGUUACCAAUAUGGUUUUAUAAAAAGUACAUACCAACUUAUGCACAUCCUCGUGCGUCAAUACUUAGUCCAACGAAAGGACACGGUCCACGGCAAUUCUGUGCAUCUUUACUAGCAAUCCCGCUAAAAUGGAACCGGUCGCAGUGGUAGGAUAUCAUGUGAGGAUAUGCAAAAAAACUGUUUUUCAUAGGGCCGCGACGUAUUCUUCCGUUGGACCGAGUAGUUGGUCCAGACUCCAGAGCAGCAGUCAUGUAUGAAAGACUCUUACAGUAAGAGUUAUUUAUUAGGAUGUUUACGCAUAGGAAUGUGGGAGGGUCAUGCAUAAUAUGCACCCAACAACUCUGUACGGC